AACGAACGCUGGCGGCAUGCCUAACACAUGCAAGUCGAACGAAAAGUUCCGGUUUGGUGUCCCACGGGUGCGUAAGGCGUAGGAACAUGCCUUUAAGUUCGGCAUAACUUCGAGAAAUUUGAGCUAAAACGGGGCGAUUUCUUCGGACCAAGGAUUUUUCGCCUUUGGGUGGGGCAGCGUUGCGUUAGCUUGUGGGGGGGGUACAGGCCAGCCACGGCGAGGAUCCGUAGCUGGUUGGAGAGGCUGUUCAGCGAAACUGGGCCUGGGACACGGCCCAGACUCGUACGGGAGGCAGGAGUGGUUAAUAUUGGAGAAUGGGCGAAAGGCUGAUCCAGCAAGGGCGGGUGAGUGAUGUAGGCCUUAGGGAUGUAAAGCUCUUUUAGCCGAGAUGAUAAUGACGGUACCGGGAGAAUAAGCACCGGCUAACUACGUG
rnacentral:rRNA from 1 species